GACUCCACCACCGUCAGCAUCGCCAAAGUGAACAGCGACUACAAGCAACUGGACAUCGCCAUCGUCAAGGCCACCAACCAUGUGGAGCGGCCUGCAAAGGAGAAGUACAUCAGAGAUAUCUUCAUGCAUCUUAAUUCCGGGAGGGCUCGGGCGGACGUGGCCUACUGCAUCCGCGCCCUCGCCA